rnacentral:rRNA from 1 species
AUUGAACGCUGGCGGCAUGCUUUACACAUGCAAGUCGAACGGCAGCGCGGGCUUCGGCCUGGCGGCGAGUGGCGAACGGGUGAGUAAUACAUCGGAACGUGCCCAGUAGUGGGGGAUAGCUCGGCGAAAGCCGGAUUAAUACCGCAUACGACCUGAGGGUGAAAGCGGGGGAUCUUCGGACCUCGCGCUAUUGGAGCGGCCGAUGGCAGAUUAGCUAGUUGGUGGGGUAAAGGCCUACCAAGGCGACGAUCUGUAGCUGGUCUGAGAGGACGACCAGCCACACUGGGACUGAGACACGGCCCAGACACCUGCGGGAGGCAGCAGUGGGGAAUUUUAGACGAUGGGCGAGAGCCUGAUCCAGCAAUGCCGCGUGUGUGAUGAAGGCCUUCGGGUUGUAAAGCACUUUUGGCGGGAACGAAAAGAACUGUGCCAAUACCACGGUUCGAUGACGGUACCCGCAGAAUAAGCACCGGCUAACUACGUG